GUUAUAUGGUCAAGUGAAGAAGCGCAUACGGUGGAUGCCUUGGCAGUCAGAGGCGAUGAAAGACGUGGUAGCCUGCGAAAAGCUUCGGGGAGUCGGCAAACAGACUUUGAUCCGGAGAUCUCUGAAUGGGGGAACCCACCUAGGAUAACCUAGGUAUCUUGUACUGAAUCCAUAGGUGCAAGAGGCGAACCAGGGGAACUGAAACAUCUAAGUACCCUGAGGAAAAGAAAUCAACCGAGAUUCCCUUAGUAGUGGCGAGCGAACGGGGAUUAGCCCUUAAGCUUCAUUGAUUUUAGCGGAACGCUCUGGAAAGUGCGGCCAUAGUGGGUGAUAGCCCCGUACGCGAAAGGAUCUUUGAAGUGAAAUCGAGUAGGACGGAGCACGAGAAACUUUGUCUGAACAUGGGGGACCAUCCUCCAAGGCUAAAUACUACUGACUGACCGAUAGUGAACCAGUACCGUGAGGGAAAGGCGAAAAGAACCCCGGAGAGGGGAGUGAAAUAGAACCUGAAACCGUAUGCGUACAAGCAGUGGGAGCCUACUUGUUAGGUGACUGCGUACCUUUUGUAUAAUGGGUCAGCGACUUAUAUUCAGUGGCAAGCUUAACCGUAUAGGGUAGGCGUAGCGAAAGCGAGUCUUAAUAGGGCGUUUAGUCGCUGGGUAUAGACCCGAAACCGGGCGAUCUAUCCAUGAGCAGGUUGAAGGUUAGGUAACACUGACUGGAGGACCGAACCCACUCCCGUUGAAAAGGUAGGGGAUGACUUGUGGAUCGGAGUGAAAGGCUAAUCAAGCUCGGAGAUAGCUGGUUCUCCUCGAAAGCUAUUUAGGUAGCGCCUCAUGUAUCACUCUGGGGGGUAGAGCACUGUUUCGGCUAGGGGGUCAUCCCGACUUACCAAACCGAUGCAAACUCCGAAUACCCAGAAGUGCCGAGCAUGGGAGACACACGGCGGGUGCUAACGUCCGUCGUGAAAAGGGAAACAACCCAGACCGCCAGCUAAGGUCCCAAAGUUGUGGUUAAGUGGUAAACGAUGUGGGAAGGCUUAGACAGCUAGGAGGUUGGCUUAGAAGCAGCCAUCCUUUAAAGAAAGCGUAAUAGCUCACUAGUCGAGUCGGCCUGCGCGGAAGAUGUAACGGGGCUCAAACCACACACCGAAGCUGCGGGUGUCACGUAAGUGACGCGGUAGAGGAGCGUUCUGUAAGCCUGUGAAGGUGAGUUGAGAAGCUUGCUGGAGGUAUCAGAAGUGCGAAUGCUGACAUGAGUAACGACAAUGGGUGUGAAAAACACCCACGCCGAAAGACCAAGGGUUCCUGCGCAACGUUAAUCGACGCAGGGUUAGUCGGUUCCUAAGGCGAGGCUGAAAAGCGUAGUCGAUGGGAAACAGGUUAAUAUUCCUGUACUUCUGGUUACUGCGAUGGAGGGACGGAGAAGGCUAGGCCAGCUUGGCGUUGGUUGUCCAAGUUUAAGGUGGUAGGCUGAAAUCUUAGGUAAAUCCGGGGUUUCAAGGCCGAGAGCUGAUGACGAGUCGUCUUUUAGAUGACGAAGUGGUUGAUGCCAUGCUUCCAAGAAAAGCUUCUAAGCUUCAGGUAACCAGGAACCGUACCCCAAACCGACACAGGUGGUCGGGUAGAGAAUACCAAGGCGCUUGAGAGAACUCGGGUGAAGGAACUAGGCAAAAUGGCACCGUAACUUCGGGAGAAGGUGCGCCGGCUAGGGUGAAGGAUUUACUCCGUAAGCUCUGGCUGGUCGAAGAUACCAGGCCGCUGCGACUGUUUAUUAAAAACACAGCACUCUGCAAACACGAAAGUGGACGUAUAGGGUGUGACGCCUGCCCGGUGCCGGAAGGUUAAUUGAUGGGGUUAGCGCAAGCGAAGCUCUUGAUCGAAGCCCCGGUAAACGGCGGCCGUAACUAUAACGGUCCUAAGGUAGCGAAAUUCCUUGUCGGGUAAGUUCCGACCUGCACGAAUGGCGUAACGAUGGCGGCGCUGUCUCCACCCGAGACUCAGUGAAAUUGAAAUCGCUGUGAAGAUGCAGUGUAUCCGCGGCUAGACGGAAAGACCCCGUGAACCUUUACUGUAGCUUUGCACUGGACUUUGAGCCUGCUUGUGUAGGAUAGGUGGGAGGCUUUGAAGCGUGGACGCCAGUUCGCGUGGAGCCAUCCUUGAAAUACCACCCUGGCAUGCUUGAGGUUCUAACUCUGGUCCGUGAUCCGGAUCGAGGACAGUGUAUGGUGGGCAGUUUGACUGGGGCGGUCUCCUCCUAAAGAGUAACGGAGGAGUACGAAGGUGCGCUCAGACCGGUCGGAAAUCGGUCGCAGAGUAUAAAGGCAAAAGCGCGCUUGACUGCGAGACAGACACGUCGAGCAGGUACGAAAGUAGGUCUUAGUGAUCCGGUGGUUCUGUAUGGAAGGGCCAUCGCUCAACGGAUAAAAGGUACUCCGGGAUAACAGGCUGAUACCGCCCAAGAGUUCAUAUCGACGGCGGUGUUUGGCACCUCGAUGUCGGCUCAUCACAUCCUGGGGCUGAAGCCGGUCCCAAGGGUAUGGCUGUUCGCCAUUUAAAGUGGUACGCGAGCUGGGUUUAGAACGUCGUGAGACAGUUCGGUCCCUAUCUGCCGUGGACGUUUGAGAUUUGAGAGGGGCUGCUCCUAGUACGAGAGGACCGGAGUGGACGAACCUCUGGUGUUCCGGUUGUCACGCCAGUGGCAUUGCCGGGUAGCUAUGUUCGGAAAAGAUAACCGCUGAAAGCAUCUAAGCGGGAAACUUGCCUCAAGAUGAGAUCUCACUGGGAACUUGAUUCCCCUGAAGGGCCGUCGAAGACUACGACGUUGAUAGGCUGGGUGUGUAAGCGUUGUGAGGCGUUGAGCUAACCAGUACUAAUUGCCCGUGAGGCUUGACCAUAUAACACCCAAACA
rnacentral:rRNA from 1 species